CCGAGUUGUGUCUCUUUCUAGAGCCAUCUCCACCCUGUGCGAACUAAAUUUGUUGCUUUGGCGGGCCGCAGCCUAGCUGCCACCGGUUCAUCUGGUGAGCGCCCGCCGGAGGCCUUUUAAAAUCUAUUUUAUGUGACGUCUGAGCAAGAAAAUAAAUGCGAA
rnacentral:misc_RNA from 1 species